GAGUUGAAGGGCCAGGUUAGGGUCAGAUUGUCAAGGGAAAAAAUAAAUACUGUAUGUGGUUGUGAAGAGUAAAAAAUGAUGACACAUAAUCAAAUUUUCUGUUUAUUUUUUAUUAGAAAAGGAAAAAAGAGAAGGUGAAAAGAAAGAAAGAAAAGAAGAGAAAGAAAGAGAAAUCAAGUCCUGUACAGCUUUCUAAAUAUUUCAAAGAUAAAAAGAAGAAUCAUAACUACAGUAUGAUCACAGGAAAGAAAAUUAAGAUGAAAAUAAAGAAGAGUAAAAAGGAUAAAGAGCGAGAUCGGAACCGGGCAGAACUUCUUGAUUUCUUGAACUCUACUUUUUAGUGAAAAAGCUGUUAAAUAAGGACCAAUAAGUCUGUCAGCUUAUUCAGUCAUCUUGCUCCUUAAAGCACCAAAUACAAGCUCAGGGUGAAGCAUGAAAGAACAUCUUGAUGCAUGA
rnacentral:lncRNA from 1 species